CAGUCGCCACGGUAAAACGUAGGGUGCAAGCGUUAAUCGGAAUUACUGGGCGUAAAGCGUGCGCAGGCGGUUAUAUAAGUCAGAUGUGAAAUCCCCGGGCUCAACCUGGGAACUGCAUUUGAGACUGUAUGGCUAGAGUGUGUCAGAGUGGGGUAGAAUUCCACGUGUAGCAGUGAAAUGCGUAGAUAUGUGGAGGAAUACCGAUGGCGAAGGCAGCCCCCUGGGAUAACACUGACGCUCAUGCACGAAAGCGUGGGGAGCAAACAGGAUUAGAUACCCCGGUAGUCCCUGUCUCUUAUAC
rnacentral:rRNA from 1 species